rfam:Colletotrichum orbiculare MAFF 240422 contig06358, whole genome shotgun sequence.
ACAUACGACCAUACCCACUGGAGAACUCGGGAUCCCGUCCGCUCUCCCAUAGAUAAGCCAGUGAGGGCCGGAUUCGUAGUUGGGUCGGUGACGACCAGCGAACACCUGGUGUUGUAUGUC